UUCCGGAUUAAUUUGGAAGGGGUAAACAGAUGAUCAGUUGUUUAUUUUUCGUUUACUCUGGUUUAACCUCACUUAACUAGAUAGAUCGAGAAAUAUUAAAUUACUAUUACUAUUAUUCAGGUUGAAAAAUGCCUUCCUCUAAGGUAAAAGGUUGCGAAGUCGAUUGGGGAAAAAUAAUGUGAAAAUGAAUUCUUUCCCAAAAGAAUCUGAACGACGGAAAGUGUGGAUUAAAAAUAUAGGGUUAAAACAAGAUCCAAACAAAUAUGCUGUUGUUUGUGAAAAAAACUGUAAAUAGUAUUUAAGGCAACGAUUGUGAAUGAGUGAGAAGUCUAAUAAAGCCACGACGAGAUAAUGUAUUAGGGCGUACGAUUUGGAGGUAUUUUUGAUUAGAUAAAUUUUGUAAAGUACAAUAUAAAUUAGAUUUGAUAAUGUGUAGUAUUUCCUAAUAAAUUAAAUACUAUUAAGUGUUUAUUGUUCUUGUAAGUUAGUGUGGUAAAUAAAUAAUAUGAAGUAA